rnacentral:misc_RNA from 1 species
UUACUGAGUGCGGGCUGCCUCCGGGCGCCCAACCUCCCACCCGUGACUACCUAACACUGUUGCUUCGGCGGGGAGCCCUCUCGGGGGCGAGCCGCCGGGGACUACUGAACUUCAUGCCUGAGAGUGAUGCAGUCUGAGUCUGAAUAUAAAAUCAGUCAAAACUUUCAACAAUGGAUCUCUUGGUUCCGGCAUCGAUGAAGAACGCAGCGAACUGCGAUAAGUAAUGUGAAUUGCAGAAUUCAGUGAAUCAUCGAGUCUUUGAACGCACAUUGCGCCCCCUGGCAUUCCGGGGGGCAUGCCUGUCCGAGCGUCAUUGCUGCCCAUCAAGCCCGGCUUGUGUGUUGGGUCGUCGUCCCCCCCGGGGGACGGGCCCGAAAGGCAGCGGCGGCACCGUGUCCGGUCCUCGAGCGUAUGGGGCUUUGUCACCCGCUCGAUUUAGGGCCGGCCGGGCGCCAGCCGACGUCCAACCAUUUUUUCUUCAGGUUGACCUCGGAUCAGGUAGGGAUACCCGCUGAACUUAAGCAUAUCAAUAAGCGGAGGAA